CAGGCUUAACACAUGCAAGUCGAGGGGCAGCGCGAGGUAGCAAUACUUUGGCGGCGACCGGCGAAAGGGUGCGUAACGCGUGAGCAACUUGCCCGUAUCUGGGACAUAAGCGGUGGAAACGCCGUCUAAUUUCCCAUAACAACAGAGGGCGCAUGACCUUUGUUUGAAAGAUCCGUCGGAUACGGAUGGGCUCGCGAGACAUUAGCUAGUCGGCGUGGUAACGGCACACCGAGGCGACGAUGUCUAGGGGUUCUGAGAGGAAGGUCCCCCACACUGGAACUGAGACACGGUCCAGACUCCUACGGGAGGCAGCAGUGAGGAAUAUUGGUCAAUGGGCGCAAGCCUGAACCAGCCAUGCCGCGUGAAGGAAUAAGGCCCUAUGGGUCGUAAACUUCUUUUGUGGUGGAGCAAUAAGGCGUACGUGUACGUCGAUGAGAGUACAUCACGAAUAAGCAUCGGCUAACUCCGUGCCAGCAGCCGCGGUAAUACGGAGGAUGCAAGCGUUAUCCGGAUUUAUUGGGUUUAAAGGGUGCGUAGGCUGUGGGGAAAGUCAGGGGUGAAAGCCCGGCGCUUAACGCCGGAACUGCCUUUGAUACUUCUCCGCUGGAAUACGGAUGCCGUGGGAGGAAUGAGUAGUGUAGCGGUGAAAUGCAUAGAUAUUACUCAGAACACCGAUUGCGAAGGCAUCUCACGAAUCCGUCAUUGACGCUGAGGCACGAAAGCGUGGGGAUCAAACAGGAUUAGAUACCCUGGUAGUCCACGCAGUAAACGAUGAUAACUAACCGUCGGCGAUACACAGUCGGUGGCCAAGCGAAAGCGAUAAGUUAUCCACCUGGGGAGUACGUUCGCAAGAAUGAAACUCAAAGGAAUUGACGGGGGCCCGCACAAGCGGAGGAACAUGUGGUUUAAUUCGAUGAUACGCGAGGAACCUUACCCGGGCUCGAACGGCAAGUGAAGGAUAAGAGAUUAUGACGCCCUUCGGGGCACUUGUCGAGUGCUGCAUGGUUGUCGUCAGCUCGUGUCGUGAGAUGUUGGCUUAAGUGCCAUAACGAGCGCAACCCUUGUCGCAGUACAGCAAGUAAAGUUGGGGACUCUGGCGAGACUGCCACCGCAAGUUAGAAAGCGAUGACGUCAAUCAACCGCCUUACGUCGGCGACACACUGUUUCAAUGGCACUCAAGGAGCACUGGUGAAGGAGCGAAUCUCGAAGGUUCGUCGAUUGAUCGCACUCGACUCCUUGAACUGAUCUGAUCGCUACCAUGCGGAACUCGCUGUACUCCCUUCACCAUAACCCGGGUCUGAG
rnacentral:rRNA from 1 species